rnacentral:rRNA from 1 species
UACGGGGGGGGCAAGCGUUGUUCGGAAUUACUGGGCGUAAAGGGCUCGUAGGCGGCCAACUAAGUCGGACGUGAAAUCCCUCGGCUUAACCGGGGAACUGCGUCCGAUACUGGAUGGCUUGAGUUCGGGAGAGGGAUGCGGAAUUCCAGGUGUAGCGGUGAAAUGCGUAGAUAUCUGGAGGAACACCGGUGGCGAAGGCGGCAUCCUGGACCGGUAUUGACGCUGAGGCGCGAAAGCCAGGGGAGCAAACGGG